GUCGAGCGGCAGCGGGAAGUAGCUUGCUACUUUGCCGGCGAGCGGCGGACGGGUGAGUAAUGUCUGGGAAACUGCCUGAUGGAGGGGGAUAACUACUGGAAACGGUAGCUAAUACCGCAUGACCUCGAAAGAGCAAAGUGGGGGAUCUUCGGACCUCACGCCAUCGGAUGUGCCCAGAUGGGAUUAGCUAGUAGGUGAGGUAAUGGCUCACCUAGGCGACGAUCCCUAGCUGGUCUGAGAGGAUGACCAGCCACACUGGAACUGAGACACGGUCCAGACUCCUACGGGAGGCAGCAGUGGGGAAUAUUGCACAAUGGGCGCAAGCCUGAUGCAGCCAUGCCGCGUGUGUGAAGAAGGCCUUAGGGUUGUAAAGCACUUUCAGCGAGGAGGAAGGCAUCACACUUAAUACGUGUGGUGAUUGACGUUACUCGCAGAAGAAGCACCGGCUAACUCCGUGCCAGCAGCCGCGGUAAUACGGAGGGUGCAAGCGUUAAUCGGAAUUACUGGGCGUAAAGCGCACGCAGGCGGUUUGUUAAGUCAGAUGUGAAAUCCCCGAGCUUAACUUGGGAACUGCAUUU
rnacentral:rRNA from 1 species